AGCGACUCAGCCAGUGCAACUGAAUGUUGGACACCCCACUCACAUGAUGAGCUAAUAUGGAGUUCAGAUCCAGCUUCAGAUGAGGAAGAAGAAGGAGAGUUAUGCCUGCGGUGCUUACAUUUCCUCUGCCCCCUGCAUGCCUCAUGGCUGGCCUCAAAUGCCUUCUUAAUGGCCAUAGCCACCCAUUCUUGGCAAUCAGUGGGAUCACUAGAGCCCCCCAUUCCAUCCUCAGCUUCUUCCAAUUGACAUCGAUUCAGAGAUCGUGCAGCAACUGGAGCACAUAGUGGAUCUGCAAACAUAACCUUUCUUCGUCAACGCAGAAGCCAGUCAUCUAAAUAUGGAUGGACUAUGAUCCCUUCCAUCCUUAAGUAUGCCACUACCACAGACAUAACUUUCGUGAAAAUACACAAGGCUGUUGAUAGUCUGAACAGAAGAACAGUGUAUUGAUACUGUCAGAUAACUCCCACGGUGCAGCUUCUUUUUAAGAUUUUGGCACUCUUCAUCAAACCAAGGUUUGUGUAUGGAGAGGUGUGUAUCCAAAUUGGCUUUAAGAGGAUAGCAAAGAUUAUUGCGCAAAAGGUCGAUUAUCUGGUGAAAAGCGCAUUUUACAUCAGUUCCCUUCACAAUUUGUUCCUUCAGGUUCAAUAAAGUAUCAGAG